UACGUAGGGUGCAAGCGUUAAUCGGAAUUACUGGGCGUAAAGCGUGCGCAGGCGGUUCGCUAAGACAGAUGUGAAAUCCCCGGGCUUAACCUGGGAACUGCAUUUGGGACUGGCGGGCUAGAGUAUGGCAGAGGGGGGUAGAAUUCCACGUGUAGCAGUGAAAUGCGUAGAGAUGUGGAGGAAUACCGAUGGCGAAGGCAGCCCCCUGGGCCAAUACUGACGCUCAUGCACGAAAGCGUGGGGAGCAAACAGG
rnacentral:rRNA from 1 species